rnacentral:rRNA from 1 species
GACGAACGCUGGCGGCGUGCCUAAUACAUGCAAGUAGAACGCUGAAGAGAGGAGCUUGCUCUUCUUGGAUGAGUUGCGCACGGGUGAGUAACGCGUAGGUAACCUGCCUGGUAGCGGGGGAUAACUAUUGGAAACGAUAGCUAAUACCGCAUAACAACAGUUGUUGCAUGACAGCUGUUUAAAAGAUGCAAUUGCAUCACUACCAGAUGGACCUGCGUUGUAUUAGCUAGUUGGUGAGGUAACGGCUCACCAAGGCGACGAUACAUAGCCGACCUGAGAGGGGGAUCGGCCACACUGGGACUGAGACACGGCCCAGACUCCUACGGGAGGCAGCAGGAGGGAAGCUUCGGCAAUGGGGGGAACCCUGACCGAGCAACGCCGCGUGAGGGAAGAAGGGUUUCGGAUCGUAAAGCUCUGUUGUAAGAGAAGAACGGGUGUGAGAGUGGAAAGUUCACACUGUGACGGUAUCUGACCAGAAAGGGACGGCUAACUACGUG